UGGGGAAUCUUGCGCAAUGGGCGAAAGCCUGACGCAGCGACGCCGCGUGAGUGAUGAAGGCCUUCGGGUUGUAAAGCUCUGUGGAGAGGGACGAAUAAGUGUUGGCUAAUAUCCAGCAUGAUGACGGUACCUCUUUAGCAAGCACCGGCUAACUCUGUGCCAGCAGCCGCGGUAAGACAGAGGGUGCAAACGUUGUUCGGAAUUACUGGGCGUAAAGCGUGUGUAGGCGGCCAUGUAAGUCAGGUGUGAAAGCCCCGGGCUCAACCCGGGAAGUGCACUUGAUACUGCGUGGCUUGAGUAUCGGAGAGGUUGGUGGAACUCUCGGUGUAGAGGUGAAAUUCGUAGAUAUCGAGAGGAACACCGGUGGCGAAGGCGGCCAACUGGACGAAUACUGACGCUGAGACACGAAAGCGUGGGGAGCAAACAGG
rnacentral:rRNA from 1 species